CAGUUUACACCUUUGAAAUGUUCAUGGUUGCUGAUACAUGGAAGAAGUACAAGAUAACAGAUUAUCCAUAUGAAAUCAAGAUUACUCAUCGCUCAAAGAUCCAAUAGAUUAUCCCACUUUAGGUCCUCCAAGCACGUACUGUCAACAACACUUCUAUCUGUGGAUGUGGUGACAGAUAUCAUACCAUAAGAAACAAAUCAAGACCCAAGAACAAAUAUUCACCUUAUCGACACAAGAUUGUGGGCAAUCAUGGAUAUGAGAUACAAUUGAUGUUUAGUAAUAUUCACUUCAUGGUUGUUUGAGCAUCCUCUAUCAGAUAGUCAAGCAUAGGUACAUCUUAUGUUAGUUCCUGAUUCACGUUUCCUGGACUCAUAUAUGUAUGUCCCUAUAUGCAAAAUUAUAUAUCAUGUAACUUUCUGAGCCUGGAAGUUGUUAGUUACUACAGGUAAAAUUAUUUAUGAGUUGGUGGAUGCAACAGAAUACAGGUUUUAAAACUAAUCAAUUCAUGUGUUUCAGUUUUAUAUUCUCCUAUUUAUAUGCAAUGAACUGAACAUCCUUUUUGGGAUGGUUUCAUUGCCUUUCUAAUUACAUAUUCUUAUUACCGUAGUUUUCUCAUACUUGGUUGCUCUGGCUUGCAUAGUUUUCUCAUACUGGGUUGUUCAGUAUCUAAUUGUCACACCGAAAAUAUAAAGUUCUCAGAAUAACCGGUCAGCCAGAGCAAAACAUUUAGCAGGGGUAUUUUAUUUUCACCAUUUUCUGUGAGCAUUGGAAGAGUUGCAUCUCCACAACAUUUCACUAGCCUUCCAAUGGAAGCAUCAACACGUGCUUCUUGAAUCUUGCUCUGGAGCAUAACUAUGGGAAUCCACAUUGGGGUUAUGAAAUAGGAAUUACAACUUGUGGAGGUUGCUUAUGCUUAAGUGUCACUUAAGAGAAUGAUUUCCUAUGUAGGCAGAAUGCCAUUUGUGUGUGGGAAAAGGAACUCUACAUAUGGAUAAAGGGAGAUUGGGUGUAUAUGUGUCUUAAUUAAACUAUUAUAUAUUUUAAUUAGCGGGCACAAUCAAAACAUACAUUAUGAAUGAAUAAUUAUGUUCACCUGAUGGAGUGAUGGGUCAGGUUGAGAUUUAUCUAUAUUUUUAGAGAUCUUCUAAAUCAUUAGUAGAUGUCAAUUUUAUUUGAACAAGCCUUCUUUGCUUACGCACGUUUUUUUACAAAGCAGCUGAAUGUUGGUGUUUAUCCCAUUUCUGCAGUUGCCUCCAUAACACAAAGUUCAGCAAAGAAAAAAAUUGAAGGAAUGACUCGUUUGAGCAGAUGAAUGGAAGAGACAUAUGCUCUUGUUAGCAUGGAUCUGGUUUCAGCAUCUUCACUUCAGUCGCUCUGCAAGCAAUGUAAUUUUUUUGUCUCCUUGAAUAUUUAUGAGCAAAGCCCAGCAGGAGGAGCUUGUCCAGUUCAGCAUAUCUUGUAAUACAUAGCGCCCAUUUACCUAUUUCCAUGAAAUCUUUUUUGAUUAACUUUGCUAAUGCGGUGCCCAUGACUUCUCGUGA